rnacentral:lncRNA from 1 species
AGAGCACAACCGACAGACCUUUAAGAAACUCUUAAAAAGAAACUGGCUUGGUGUUAAUAUAACUGACCGAUCUUUUGGCCAACAUGUUAAAACUCUGCUGGACACUUUUAAAUUUUAGACUGCUGCAGUUUUAGAAGCCAGAAGCACGAGGACAAGUCCUCAUGCUUUUGGCUUCUAAAACGACAGUACUCCAAAUUCAUGGAGGCCAAUUAAAGUCUUUUUACUGUCUGUUACUAUCCCUGCCAUUCUCGCCCACUGUUUUCUCAAAUGGCAGACAGACUGUGCCACAUAAUGAUUUUUUUUUGGCAUUUCUGUGUACAUGCUGGCUUGAUUUUUAAAGGUGCAUCAAAAAAAUCAAACCCUCAUAAUUUAUUUUAUGAGUGCUUCUUGACCAUAAUAGCAGCAAGGCAUUUAUUAGUUGGAGACUGUUGGAUAAUCAUGCAGCAUUUUACAUAAACACCACCAAGUUGAAACAGUUUUUUUGCUGUUGAAAUGCCGACAUUUAUGUCACAUCUGAGCUUACAAACUGGAUUUAUUAGGGUUGCAUGCUAAGGCACGCUUGACUAUUACUAUUGCUCAUACUUAGAGUUAGUGAUUUGACCAAACCCCGAGUAUUAAACUUGGGCUGAACUUGCACCGUUUAUGCUACGGAGAUAUAUGAAACAUCAAAUUGGACAGCUUGUUGUAAGCUAUUACUUUUCUGAGCUUUCAAACUUGAUUUUUCACAUGGUGGAUGAUAAAAAUAGGUAAAAAAAAAAAAUACCUAAAGACUGACUUGAAAGAGAGACUUAAGCCAUAUCUUAGAAGCAGAAUAUCAUAUAGGCAUCUUUUCACAGCUUAAUUAAGGCUGCUCAAAAUUCUGUGUGAAGAUGUAAUGCCGCAUAAAAGGCAGAUUAAAUUCGGUCUGCUUUGACCCAUUUUAGCCAUUAGUAUCAGUGUAUACAGUUAUGCAUAUAUGAGCACCUCAGAGCAGCAUUAAACAGUUUGUGUAAAGACACUAAACACCACUUCAGAAGUGUCUCUGACUGUGCCACUCUUCCCGUGUCUUAGAAACAUCACAUUGUCAUCACGUUCUGUUCUGUCAUGUACUAUUCAUCUACACCGGGGCGUCAUGCACUCAUUAUUUUUCAGGGGGCACGAGUGGGGGGGAUGUUGUCGUCAUGUGACACCGACACACAGCAGCCAAAAUAGCACUGAUGUCUUAUUGAUUUUUUCCUUUUUAUUCGAAACAUUCUGCAUUAACUAUAUCAUGAAAUAUCUCGAUUCUCACCUUUACAGAUUAUGCUAGUUGAUAGUGGGCGAUGGUCAAAGUAGCCUAUUAAAAGUCUAUUAACUAUACAUAAAAACCUGUCUGUUUACUUAAGUAACAGAUGGGUGUCAUGCCAUAACAUAUUUUUAAUACGACUGACUUUAUAUUUAAUGUGAAUUUAACAAGAAUAAAAUAUGAAUAAAAACACUGUAAGUUAGGCUACUUAUAACACUUUCAUUGUACAGAAAGAGAGCAAAGAACAUUAAUAUCUUACUUACAGAUUCAUACACACAUCUGUAGUUUGUUGUAACGAGAGAAUUCGCUAGAAAGAGGUAUUCAGACAGCGAGUGAGUGCAGAAAACACCGGUAUUUUAGCGAUGACUCAUCUGAACACCUCUGAUUGGUCAUUGCAUUCGUAAGCUCAACAGCAUAGUGUGUGAUUGGUUAUAAUGUGCAGUGCUGUAAAAACACAUCUGUAUCUGGCUUAGCGCCAGCCAGCGAACGCAGAUUUGAAUUUUCGAAGCUGAUAUGACGCGCUUAACAAUUUAAUCAUGCUAGUGUGAUUGUAUAAAAUAUAGAAAAUAUUAUUCGGCUAUUUUUUGUCUCUUGGAAGCUGCAUUCAAAAUCCACUCAAAAAUCUGAAUGGGCAUGACGCCUCUGAUCUACACUAUAAAAAAAUAGGUUCUAAAAAGGGGAGUUUGUAGUGAGUGAUGCAACAAAAGACCUUUUUGGGUCCCCAAAGAACCAUUCAGUCAACAGUUCUUAAAAAAUACACUAUUGAAUAAAGAACUUUUAUUUCAAGAGUGUAGAAGUGAAGUAGAAAAAUACACUAUUGAAUAAAGAACUUUUAUUUUCAAGAGUGUAGAAGUGAAGAGUUACACCAAUCCGAAUGUUUGGGAACUUCACAGAUCAAAGGGCCGACUGGAUUAAGUUGAUGUGGAAAGAUUGGAUUCUUGAGACAUCUGUCUCUCAUUGUUAACCAUUUGGUAAUUCUCAUUCAAACAGGUGUUUAGAGAAUACUGUGAGUUAUAACUUUGGAUCUGUAAAUGGUGGGCAUCUGUAUUGGAUCUGUGUAAUUUCCACACACAGCUAGACUGAAGAACUUACCAUGCAAAAAUAGAGCACUUCUUUGUUCCUUUCUUUUGAUUACUGUCCAAACCAGUCGGGUCAUAUUGUGUUACACUGCAAUUCACUGUACUGACAAACAAAGUACUUGGCAACUCAGACCUUUUGUUUGGGGACUGCACUGAAUCUACAACAGAGAGAACAUUGGUGGUCUUAAUGUUGGAAUCUUAGGCCAGACCGCACAUGUAAGUGACGCUAAUUAUUUCUGUUCCCAUAUUACGGUAGCGAGAACUGCAAGUUGCAGAAACAAUGUUAAUGCAUUCUUACUUUUUUAUUUUUUGAAGGAACAAAAUACUGUAGUGAACUAAUGGCCCAUUGUUUGAAAACAAAAAGUAUACAUCAUUCAGGCUUCACAUUU